UACGUAGGGGGCAAGCGUUGUCCGGAAUUAUUGGGCGUAAAGAGCGUGUAGGCGGUCCGGUAAGUCAGCUGUGAAAGUCAAGGGCUCAACCCUUGAAAGCCGGUUGAUACUGUCGGGCUAGAGUCCGGAAGAGGCGAGUGGAAUUCCCGGUGUAGCGGUGAAAUGCGCAGAUAUCGGGAGGAACACCAAUGGCGAAGGCAGCUCGCUGGGACGGUACUGACGCUGAGACGCGAAAGCGUGG
rnacentral:rRNA from 1 species